rnacentral:rRNA from 1 species
UGGGGAAUUUUGGACAAUGGGCGCAAGCCUGAUCCAGCCAUGCCGCGUGCAGGAUGAAGGCCUUCGGGUUGUAAACUGCUUUUGUACGGAACGAAAAGGUGCCUUCUAAUAAAGGGCGCUCAUGACGGUACCGUAAGAAUAAGCACCGGCUAACUACGUGCCAGCAGCCGCGGUAAUACGUAGGGUGCGAGCGUUAAUCGGAAUUACUGGACGUAAAGCGUGCGCAGGCGGUUUUGUAAGACAGAGGUGAAAUCCCCGGGCUCAACCUGGGAACUGCCUCUGUGACUGCAAGGCUGGAGUGCGGCAGAGGGGGAUGGAAUUCCGCGUGUAGCAGUGAAAUGCGUAGAUAUGCGGAGGAACACCGAUGGCGAAGGCAAUCCCCUGGGCCUGCACUGACGCUCAUGCACGAAAGCGUGGGGAGCAAACA